AGGAGCGCAGGGGACCGGGGCGGCUCCGCCUCCUCACGGCGGCCUCCCCUCCAGUGCCAGCCGCCAGCCCGGUCCGCGCCGGCAGGAGGUCCGAGCCCACCCAGCGGUCCCUCCGCAGCGACCUCGGCCUGAGAGCUGGCAGCGGCAUCCCGGCUGUUGGUGGUGGGAGGACUUCGGUGGAGCCCCGAGCCCCAGACCUCUGGGCAUGACUCUUGUGGACAGGACCCUGGAGAGCCCUGCCCUAACUUUAUCCUGGAUAAGGCUCUCCUAGAGAGUAUUGUUACUUUUGUACAUCUGCUACCUCGUGUUGAAAGCAUUUUCACCAACCUUCUGGAAAAACUCAGACAUCCAAAAGGUUUGCCAGGUUUGGAGCGUUACCUAAAGAGAAGCAGAAGAGCAAAAGAAGCUGAAUUCUACUCUGAAAAGCCCCUGGGCUAGCGCUAUGGUACCAUCACAUUUGGCAGUGGUAUGUCCUGACCCCCUGUGAGAUGUGCCAUGGAACAACUGUCAAGGUCAAGCCACCGGUGUCCUGGGAGUCCCUAAAGAUGCUUCUCCCUCCACAGGCACGUUCACUCCCGUGGUUUCUGUGAGACAGUCUUCACCGGCUCUGUCCUCUGCACUCCCAGGAAGCCCCCCAGGAGAAUUAACACCAGCUUCUCUGUCGGAACCUUCUUCACCUGCACCCUCCAUUUUCUCUUCUGACCUGAGGACCCUCUUAUGUGACUUAACUUCACCCUCACCACUUAGUCACUUCCAAUGCCGGUUCCUCCCUUGGAUUCCACAUUCCCAACAGACAUUCUUCACCCCAGCCACUUGUGUUUCUUCCUCUCCCACCAUGUGACACUCAGGGAGCAGAUGCUGUUCUCUAAUCAGAAGUGACUUUCUCUCUGAAUAACGUCAAGUCAUUUUGAUCUCUGCCUUUCCAGAGAUGUCAAUCUCUUACCAAGUUUAUCCCAGAAAAUAGGCCCACAGAUUCCCAUGUUUACCAUCAGGAACCAACAGCCUGUCUGCUUCACCACCACCAGAUGGCACUUUAGCUGUGACUCAACCUGAACAUGUUUCCAUUUAAGGACACUUGUUCUAGAGACCUUCUCCCCAGAUGGUGCUGAUAAGCUGUCCACUAUGUCCCAGCAAUCAGAGGUACAGACCCUCCAAGCAGUGUCAGAAUUCUCAUGCCAGAACCUACAUCUUUGGAGUUUCUACCCCUUCACCUUCUAAGGCUUCAUUUGUGGGAGUCCCUGCAGGCAACAUUUUAACAUCUGCUUAUCUCUCCCUUCCAAAGUCUGAUGUUCUGGCCUUUUUGGAGAGACAAGUUUAAAACUGUGUUGACUGCAUGAUGUGCAAGGAAAAGGAAAUAAAACAAGAUCUUUCCCAAAGCAACUUAGGCCAAACUCCCAACAACCGAAUUUGCCAUGUAUAAUGUGCACCUUUUUGGACAAAUAUUUGAGGGAUGACCAAGAAUGCACAUCAUAUGUGGGUAGUAUGGCUUGGGAGUGUGGGAACCAAUGAACCUCCUAGAGCUGCUGUGCUUCCCCUUUUGUGGGUUUUGGGUGUAUGUGUCUCUGGUCCAGGAGAAUCCAAGAUUUGGUGGGAGUGAGCCAGCAUGGCCUCCGCCUAAUGCCAUGACCAAGGGAGGGGGCUGUGGUGGGGCUGGUGAGGCAGGCCCUGGCCUUGUGGGAUGCAAUCUGUGGCCCAGGGUAUUGCUGCAGAGGGAGUUGGGAGCUCUGUGCAGCGGUGAUUCGGUGCACUGCGCAGAGGAGGUUGGGUGCCCUGUUCAGAGGGUGUUUGGGGACCUGCACAGAGGAGUUUGGGAGCCCUGUUCAGGACAGGGACCAUUAUGGCUGCCCUUGGGUUGACCAGCUCAGAAGCUCCUGCCCCAGUGGCCACAUGUGUGGGAAACUUGUGUGUGGCCCCUGAUGUGGUGAGGAGGGAAGGGCUCCCGGGAGCAAGGGAAAGGGCAAUCUUCACAGAGUCCGUGGCUAUGGAAGGUUGGCACAAUCUCCAUGUUUGUCCUCCCCACAUGUGUCUCUUUUGGCCAAGAGCUGAAUUGUGUUUUCCAGAAUGUUUGGGCAAAAAUCAUGGGUGCACAGUAUACAUGGCAAAAUACGGUAAAUUUUUCAUGGACAAUGUUAGUAUCAAUUGCCAAUAAGCAUGACUCAGUAGAUUCCUUCCUCUGAGAACCAGCAAAGGUAAACCAGAAUACCUGCACAUGGACAAUAGCUCCUGUGUCCUAAGACCUUUGAGGAUGACAGAGAACAAAAUACAUCCAGCUCUCCUGGCAUCUCCUAUCUCUGCAGGUUGAGUCCCUGCCCUUUGUGGUGCUUGUCCCAGGUGGCUGUUCCUCAACAUCUGUAUUCUUCCAUCUCCACUACCUUCAUAGCUGAAGAACCCCAGUAAUUAACCAUCUCCAACCUCUCCAGAGACCUGCCCAGUCUCCAGUCCUUAACCCUCACUCGAGUCCAGUCUCGGGCCCAAUUUCAAUUCCUGUUUUCCUUUCUAUCAUCUGGUUUCCUAUCCCAGAUUAGGUUCUGGGGAGUGUGUUUUCAAAAACCACAGAAUGAGGCACAGUGUGUUAUACCUUCUGACAUUUCCCACCUGAUCUGUAAUGUGUCACAGAAAGAGCAGCAAAUUAUGUGGGGCUUAUAGCCUGUGGUCAAGAAAUCCCUGGAAGACUUUUGUCUUCCAGUUCCCAACCUCACAUUGCUCAGCCAGUCCUCCAAGAUCUGUAUUCCAACCCCCAUUUUUUUUUUUUUUAUUGUUGGGGAUUCAUUGAGGGUACAAUAAGCCAGGUUACACUGAUUGCAAUUGUUAGGUAAAAUCCCUCUUGCAAUCAUGUCUUACCCCCAUAAAGUGUGACACAGACCAAGGCCCCACCCUUUUUCUCUCAGCACUGAGCUUCUGAAGAAAACCAGGAACCAUCAUCACAAGAGAAUUUUGAAUUCACCCAAGAUGGAAACUUCCAGAGAGACGCUGAGAAAUUCUUCCCUUAAUAAGGAUACUCAGAAGGAUCAGGAAGUUAGCCUGAGAAAUGGCUGUAAAAGAUCAUCUGUUGAGUGAUCUAGAGAGGUCUUCAGAUAAGGAUCUAGGUCUAACUCUCUGAAAGGCCUAGGAAAUUAGGGAGUAAUUCAAGGCCCUCAAGGGUGAGCCUAGGUCUGAAACAACUGGAACACAUGAGAACACCAAAUUCUGAAGGUGGGAUUUCCAAGCCCCCAUGCAGAAGCUCUAAAGCUAUUUAUGUAGAACAGUUUGGGACAACAAAUUAAGUUGCCAGCUGGGAUUAUCCCCUCCUGCCUCCUCACCUGUGGGCAAAGGAAGGACAGGGAGCCCUAAGACAAUCUUCAUUUUAUACCCAGCAUGACCAAAUGGAGAACGUACAAUGAAGAAUGAAAGGCAGACUCUUCUACGCACCCCUCAUGGAAGGGUAGACAAAAUGAGGAUCUGCUUAGGAGCACAUGUCUUCCCCAUCCCUGUCACUGAAGGGAUGGCCUUCUACUGAACAUCACAUUGAAAGUAAAUGAUCCCUUGUUGGCAGUGGAUUUUUAAAUGCAGAAUAAAACAGAAGGGGCAAUAAGAUUACCUGAAAAGUGCAGCCCUCAAUUGCAUCAGGACCAUUCCCCACUGUGCCCAACAGAGAGCCUGUGCCCCAUCCAUGACCCUGUGCAGGUUGCAAGUUGGCCAGGUGCCUUUGGAACCGCCUGCACUGCUGAGAUUUCAGGGUCUCUCUGCUUCCUUGCAUUUCCUGAGAGGAAGAUUCAUUCCCUUAAAAUGAGA